GCUUGGAUGGUGCAAGGUCAGGGCUCCGCGUGUGGCCCCAGCUAGUGGUGCGCGUAGGGGCUGCUCCCGGUCCCGCCACGAGGAGCGGCGGGUUUCCCAGCGGCGGGCCCGGCCGGGGGCGCAUGGGCACGACACGGGUCCUGGCGGAGCCCGAGCCACCACUCACCAUCCUGGGAGAGCGACAGCGGCAGCAGCAGCAGAAACGCUGAGAGCACCAGCGCGAAGCGCAUCGUGUCCUGGCCUCAGACCCGGAGCAGGCAGGCAACUGACUGAAAAAGAGGUUUAAGAAACUUGCUCGAGAUCACAUAACUGCUAACUGUCAGGCCUGCUUCUGAAAGUAUCAAUAAUUUGGAGACAUACUUGGCGCAGUGCCUGACGUGUAGUAAUCGCUCACUGCUGGAAGGAUGCAGAGCCUGGAACCCCCUGCGGAGGAGGCGCAAGGGUGGCGCCGAAGAAAGGGAAGCAG